UACAGAGGGGGCAAGCGUUAUUCGGAAUUAUUGGGCGUAAAGGGCGCGUAGGCGGCCAAGCAAGUCAGGGGUGAAAUCCCUCGGCUCAACCGAGGAACUGCCUCUGAAACUGCAUGGCUUGAGACCGGGAGAGGGUGGUGGAAUUCCCAGUGUAGCGGUGAAAUGCGUAGAUAUUGGGAGGAACACCGGUGGCGAAGGCGGCCACCUGGACCGGUUCUGACGCUGAGGCGCGAAAGUGUGGGGAGCAAACAGG
rnacentral:rRNA from 1 species